rnacentral:rRNA from 1 species
GAUGAACGCUGGCGGCGUGCCUAGUACAUGCAAGUCGAACGCGCAGCGAGAGGUGCUUGCACCUUUCAAGCGAGUGGCGAACGGGUGAGUAACACGUGGAUAACCUGCCUCAAGGCUGGGGAUAACAUUUGGAAACAGAUGCUAAUACCGAAUAAAACUUAGUAUCGCAUGAUAUCAAGUUAAAAGGCGCUACGGCGUCACCUAGAGAUGGCUCCGCGGUGCAUUAGUUAGUUGGUGGGGUAAAGGCUUACCAAGACAAUGAUGCAUAGCCGAGUUGAGAGACUGAUCGGCCACAUUGGGACUGAGACACGGCCCAAACUCCUACGGGAGGCUGCAGUAGGGAAUCUUCCACAAUGGGCGCAAGCCUGAUGGAGCAACGCCGCGUGUGUGAUGAAGGCUUUCGGGUCGUAAAGCACUGUUGUAUGGGAAGAAAUGCUAAAAUAGGGAAUGAUUUUAGUUUGACGGUACCAUACCAGAAAGGGACGGCUAAAUACGUGCCAGCCGCCGCGGUAA